rnacentral:rRNA from 1 species
AUUGAACGCUGGCGGCAGGCCUAACACAUGCAAGUCGAACGAGUGGCGGACGGGUGCGUACUGUCUGGGAAACUGCCCGAUGGAGGGGUAUAACUACUGGAAACGGUAGCUAAUACCGCAUACCAUCGGAUGUGCCCCGAUGGGAUUAGCUAGUCGGUGGGGUAACGGCUCACCUAGGGGCCGAUCCCUAGCUGAUCUGAGCGGAUGACCAGCCACACUGGAACUGAGACACGGUCCAGACUCCUACGGGAGGCAGCAGGGGGGAAUAUUCCACAAUGGGCGAAAGCCUGAUGCAUCCAUGCCGCGUGUAGGAAGAAGGCCUUCGGGUUGUAAAGUACUUUCAGCGAGGAGGCGGUACUCGCAGAAGAAGCACCGGCUAACUCCGUGCCAGCAGCCGCGGUAAUAC